rnacentral:lncRNA from 1 species
AGGGCGCAUGCGCGGUCUGCCUCCCGCGGCGGGCCGGGUCUCCAGGGAGGACCUGAGUUUUCUUCACCCAUUGUCAGGGAGGCGCCAUCGCCCUGGCUUUGGGGCUGGGGCCUCCGGGGAGGUUCCGGUAGGGGCGUUGGAGAGGCCGCUCUUUUUGCAAGGCCCGAGACGGCGGGCCUUGCGCAGGCCGCCCUAUUCCGCGCCCUCAGGGCGUCAGUAUCAGCCUGAGGCUGGAUACCCCCGCUGGGCCCAGAUGCCCCCGCUGGGCCCGGAGCAUCCUCCGGCGCUGCCCUCCCAGAGCCACGCAGAGGCUGAGGUGGCGCGGGGGCGGCCCUGGCUCCGCGAGAAGCGGCGGCAGCGAGGGCUGGAGGACCCGGGCUGCGGGGCUCCGGGGCGUCUGGCCUGGGUGGGACUGAGCCCAUCCAGGGACUGGGACUCCGGGGUUCUGGUGUAGGUGGAUCCGGGGCAGGCUCAGGACCAAGUCCCUCUCCUUCCACCAAGGAGCGCCCAGAGGCCGGCGGGAGCUCCAGGUUCACCUCCUCCUCCUCCAGUGUUGUCAGAUUUCUGAAGAGCAUUCCGGAGGACA